UACGGAGGAUGCAAGCGUUAUCCGAAAUGAUUGGGCGUAAAGCGUCCGCAGGUGGCUGUGUAAGUCUGCUGUUAAAGCGUCAUGCUCAACAUGAUAAGAGCAGUGGAAACUACACGGCUAGAGUGCGUUCGGGGCAGAGGGAAUUCCUGGUGUAGCGGUGAAAUGCGUAGAGAUCAGGAAGAACACCGGUGGCGAAAGCGCUCUGCUAGGCCGCAACUGACACUGAGGGACGAAAGCUAGGGGAGCGAAUGGG
rnacentral:rRNA from 1 species